rnacentral:lncRNA from 1 species
GCAUAAAUUCACAGUUUACAGUAUGCAUAGUUUACUUAAAGUCCCGGAUACAAAAUUAAUUCAUAAUAUUUGCAUAUUUGUAAGUUAAAUUGUUAAGAAGUGCUUAGAAUUACUCUUCGCAGUCAUUGAAACUCAUAGAUUCUUCCUGAAUAUUAUUUAUGGGGUAUUUGUGUCCUUUCGAUAACCCAAAAGUAAGCCGCAACACCUAAAUCUGCAUUUUUGUCACCACGGCAUAAUAAAUACAAACUAGAAAAACAAAAAUAUCGCAAGAAAACUUACAAUAGUGUGUUCUAUCCUGAAUAUGUACUAAAUAUUCCAAAUUGCUAGAAACAGCAGAAUGAUUUAGAAAAUUUGAGGCCCCAGGGGCAAAAAACAUAGAAAA